UUAAAACUUUUCUUUUUCGAAACCCUGGUUGCCGCAAGGGAGAGUUGAUGAAGAAACAAGAUUUGAUCUAACAGAGUAAAUCUUUGUAUCGACAAGAGGAUCGUAUUUCUUGCACCAACAGGUAGGUUCUCUAACUCUUAUAUUCUUUAAAGUCAAAUAUCCUUUAAAGUCUGUUCUAAUAAUCCUAAGGAAGUUUUAUGGAUUCACUUUGUUUGAAAAGGAAGGAUUUUAAGAUUGUUUUGUUUUUAUUUCGUAAGGAGCCGUGUUAAGAGAAUGAGGAUCUAAUAAAACUCAACUAAGUGAUGCGAACCAAAAUGUUUUGAUCCACCUGCUUGUUUCUUCUAAUGAGAUGCUCAUCCAUUAAUUAUUUAACAACGUUAUUGACUGACUAUUUUCUGUUCUCGAAUAUGUAUAGGACGAAGAGUAGUUACCUGCUAUAUAUGCAUUUUUAAUGCUUAUUCUUAAUUUCAUUAUGAGAAGAAGUAUUAGGGGAUAAUAGAGGAGGAUUCAAAUUUAGUAGCUAUAGCUAUUACGGGUUAAUAAUCAUGCAUGUUCCUGUUUAACAGUAUGGUGUGUAUUGAACCUCAUAGGAGAUACUCGUAUAAUUUAAUGCAUAGAGUAGUUGGUCUGAUCUUCAUAGUCAUUAGUCAUUUGUUAUGAGACGUUCUUAUGUCCAACCCAACUUGGGUCUUCCAUGAGUGUGUACGGGUGGCACUAUGCUGAACCCUUAAGUGGUACCAUGUAUUAUAGGCUAUUACUGGGUCUGAAAAUGGUAGAUUGGUUGGCACGUCUUCAUUUUUGAAUGGUUAUGGCGAUUGCCAUUAUCUCCGUAGUGAAUUGGUUUUAGAGAAAAUAAAUGUGUGGUGGUAUUUGUUGAUUGAACCUAUUCAGAGAUGUCCAAUAGUUGACAUUUAAAAGGGCAGUGAGAUUGAUUAGUUGUUUACGUUCUGGGACUGUUGCCUGUAGUUGGCUCGAUUUCCAUGGUUAUUAGGUGAUGACCGAGGAGUCGCCUAAAAGGUAUGAAUUUAUUAUCUUAUAUUAGCAUCGACAACAUUUAAUUCUUCUGGCGCACGAUAGGGGAAUUACUUGGACUACUCAAAGGCAUGAUACGGUAUGCAUUGCAGUUAAAGUAAGGAUCUAGAGAGGGGAUUCCGUAAUCAUACAGACACGGGAAUGGUUAACUCACACCGUUUUUCUUUUUACCAUUUGAACAACUUGCUUGCCAUUGUCGAGUCAUUUCCUGUCCUUUUCACUUAGUGGUUGUUGACGCUUUUAUGAAACUGAAAUGACAACACUACAAAAUAGAAGGUUUCUUGGGACGGCAAAAAAACAUCCCAGAAGGCCUAAAAACCGUCCCAAGAGAUAUUUGUGACGGUUUUUUGUUCGUCCUCUAUUCUACCAUCACUAAUACUUUUCGUAUUUUCUUUUGGGAACGGCCCAAAAAUAACUUUAAAUUAAUUAUCCCACGACCAAUAGGGACGGUCAGCCCAUGGACAUUCCAAAUAACCAUCUCUAGGGACGGUUUUACAAAAUUGACCAUCCCUAGAAGCCACCUGUUUUGUAGUGCAAAAAGAAAAUGUAUACCAUUCUUAUAAAUUGUCUUACUUCUUUAAAUUUUGAUGAACUGCUUUGGGUUUUUCUUAGAUAGUCGGUCUAUAAAGAUUAUAAGGGAGUGAGAGCCUACUUUUUGUUUGGGUCUUACCCAACUUACUAUUUUUUUUCCAGGAGACCAUGAUCGUGAAGCAACCUAACUUGUAGAUUUCAUUUCCGUUCUGAAAAGCUACUUUGUUAUUAUUUAAGGUGCUUAGCUAAAUGUUUUAUUGAUGUCUUUUAAGGAUCAGACGUUAUUCCUUUCCGUUAAUUUCUUAACAUUUAUUUUGAAGACUGACCUGCGAGUCGAAGAUUAUCUUUUGGAAUUAAAGAUAUUAUUUAACCAUGCAAUUUUAUUAGUUUUAUUUAAUAAAAUUUAUUUAUGGAUUGUUGUAAAUGUGCUCCAUAUGAUAGCCUAAUCUCCAUUUGUUGGCUUGACGGUUUGAGUGUGUAAAAUAGUCCAUGAGUAUGCCACACUUGGAAUUUUAGGGCAGCCGACCUAGAAUUCGAAGUGGGGAUGUUACAGUAUGUGCCAUCUUUUUUCAGAGGAUCUUGUGGAAUAGUCUCUUACAACAUUGACAGGGCUGCUCGACAUAUGGGCUUUGAUCAGGGAGUCCCAUUCCGUCGUCCACUGACAGCUCCAGACGAAUCGUUGCCCGCCAUUCUUGAUUACAGUGUCUCUGCAACAGAUAAAAGUCUUCCCUUCCUGCUCUCAGAACGAAAACCUGUGACGACUUCCAAAUAUAAUGUCUUCUGGCAAGAUGAGUUUAUCGCCAUUCAUCAGUUCAUGCAGGAUGUUGUGACAAAGUCAUGUGGAAAACCUUCCUCUGCGGUUCUAGCGAAGCAUAAAUUGUUGAAACAGCUUCCUUUGGGCAAGCGAAAAUCUUCUAGCUUGGAUGCAGACAGUCCCCAGAAAAAGGAUUGAAGGUCGAAAAAUUGUGCAGUUGGCUUCCAAUCGGAUUCGACGGCUCUUGUGACUUUCAGUUCUUUCAACACGCAGGGUCUUGACAACUCGAAUAUCUUUGCUAGACUUGCCCACGGCAAAAGGCGGCGCCUCCUGAGGAAGGAGACGACAAGACUGAAUCUCUUGAAGAAGAAUCCGAGGAGGAAGAAAGUUCGAGAUCCGGUGGUGAGAAGAGUACUUCUGAAUGCAAUAGAGAGUCUUCUUCCAGUGGGCCCACAAAUGAGUCAAAAAAGGCCAUCGAAGAUAACCCUGAGAUGGAGAUUCGUCGUGAUGAAGAUGUAUCUAUGUCACCAACCAUGGAAAACGUACAAACUGGUAAUCUGGAGAUGGAGGUUGAUCGUCGUGAGGAUGCUGCUAUGUUUCCAAUGGCGGAAAACGCCGUCUUGGCGACGGGCGUGAUUGUUACCAAAGAACCUUUGCUGGUGUCAUUUUUGAUCCUCCAUUUGAAGCUCCUUUUGAGGGUCAUGUGUUGAUUGGAGGAUUCAGUGUUCCAGUGAAGUAUGCAGAGUUGUAUACCAAGAUAUGGAGGAAGUAUGGGCACAUUGCCACAACCAGGAAGAUUGAUAGCCGUUUUGCAUUGGUCAAGCGUGUGGAGGAAACUCUGUUUUCAAUCCAUGACAUGUGCGGCGUGACUGGACACACUGUUUCUGGCGAUGUAGUCAAAAGCUGGGAAUUCCAUCGAGAUGUGUGUGCGAACUUCGAGUUUAACACUUUCUGGUUCUGUGAAGGAUUUUCCAAAAUCCAAAAGCUGCAGACUGAAAUGGAUGAAGUCCCUUCCGCAGAUCUUAUUAACCAGCAUGAGGCGGAAGUCGAGAGGUUAUCCUAGAAGUUGAAGUUGAAGUAGGAUGCUCUUCAGAAAAUGAAGGAUACUUUCUCCAAGAAGAACGGGUUGUUGUUAGACAAUUUUCCUUAAAUGCUUUUAUUUUUCUGAACCUCCUUUUCUUAGGUCCCCCUUUUUUUUUUGAAAGGCAAGAGACGCAUCUUUCAUGGUUUUGAUUUUCUGGUUUUUGGAUUGAUAGAUGAUUAUUUCUUAUAAGAGUUUUGGAUUAUUUUGGAA